rnacentral:rRNA from 1 species
UACAGGGGGGGCAAGCGUUGUUCGGAAUUACUGGGCGUAAAGGGCGCGUAGGCGGCCGAUCAAGUCGGGGGUGAAAGCCUGUGGCUCAACCACAGAAUUGCCUUCGAUACUGUUUGGCUUGAGACCGGAAGAGGUAAGUGGAACUGCGAGUGUAGAGGUGAAAUUCGUAGAUAUUCGCAAGAACACCAGUGGCGAAGGCGGCUUACUGGUCCGGUUCUGACGCUGAGGCGCGAAAGCGUGGGGAGCAAACAGG